rnacentral:rRNA from 2 species
GGGAGGUAGUGACAAAAAAUAACGAUACGGGACUCAUCCGAGGCCCCGUAAUCGGAAUGAGAACACCCUAAAUCCUUUAACGAGGAUCUAUUGGAGGGCAAGUCUGGUGCCAGCAGCCGCGGUAAUUCCAGCUCCAAUAGCGUAUAUUAAAGUUGUUGCGGUUAAAAAGCUCGUAGUUGGUUCUGCGUGCCACGCUGUCGGUUCACCGCCUGUCGGUGCAACUGGCAUGCCGUGGCAUGUCCUGUCGGUGGCUGACGGGCUUCGCGGCGUGCCCCUCUUGCUCACGCUUGGGGGUCGACGCGCCGUGUUGUCCUCGUUGGCCGGCUCAAUCCUACCGCGGUGCUCUUAAACGAGUGUCGAGGUAGGCCGACACUGUUUACUUUGAACAAAUUAGAGUGCUUCAAGCAGGCUCUGAAAGCAGCCUGAAUAGUGGUGCAUGGAAUAAUGGAACAGGACCUUGGUUCUAUUUUGUUGGUUUUCGGAAUCCAAGGUAAUGAUCAAUAAGGACAGGCGGGGGCAUUCGUAUUGCGACGUUAGACUUGGCAAAUGCUUUCGCGGUGAAAUUCUUGGAUCGUCGCAAGACGCACUAGAGCGAAAGCAUUUGCCAAGUAUGUCUUAAUUGAUCAAGAACGAAAGUUAGAGGUUCGAAGGCGAUCAGAUACCGCCCUAGUUCUAACCAUAAACGAUGCCAGCCAGCGAUCCGCCGAUGUUCCUCCGAUGACUCGGCGGGGAGCUUUCCCCGGGAAACCAAAGCUUUUGGGUUCCGGGGGAAGUAUGGUUGCAAAGCUGAAACUUAAAGGAAUUGACGGAAGGGCACCACCAGGAGUGGAGCCUGCGGCUUAAUUUGACUCAACACGGGAAACCUCACCAGGCCCGGACAUUGGAAGGAUUGACAGAUCGAUAGCUCUUUCUCGAUUCAGUGGGUAGUGGUGCAUGGCCGUU